rnacentral:rRNA from 1 species
ACAUGCAAGUCGAACGGAAAUAAAGGAGCUUGCUCCUUUUUGAUUAGUGGCGAACGGGUGAGUAACACGUGGGCAACCUGCCCCUGACUCUGGGAUAACUAUUCGAAAGAGUAGCUAAUACCGGAUAUGAAACCUGGAGACAUCUUCAGGUUUGGAAAGUUUUUUCGGUCAGGGAUGGGCCCGCGGCCUAUCAGCUAGUUGGUGGGGUAGUGGCUCACCCAAGGCGACGACGGGUAGCCGGCCUGAGAGGGCGACCGGCCACACUGGGACUGAGACACGGCCCAGACUCC